GAUUAUGGCUCAGGAUGAACGCUAGCGGCAGGCUUAACACAUGCAAGUCGAGGGGCAACGCGAGUAGCAAUACUUGGCGGCGACCGGCGCAAGGGUGCGUAACGCGUGAGCAACAUGCCCGUAUCAGGGGGAUAAUCCAGGGAAACUUGGUCUAAUACCCCAUAGUAAUUUUGUAAGGCAUCUUAUAAGAUUUAAAGCUUUGGUGGAUACGGAUUGGCUCGCGUGACAUUAGCUGGAUGGUAAGGUAACGGCUUACCAUGGCUAUGAUGUCUAGGGGUUCUGAGAGGAAGGUCCCCCACACUGGAACUGAGACACGGUCCAGACUCCUACGGGAGGCAGCAGUGAGGAAUAUUGGACAAUGGAUGGAAAUCUGAUCCAGCCAUGCCGCGUGAAGGAAGAAGGUCCUAUGGAUUGUAAACUUCUUUUGUAUGGGAGCAAUAAGGCCUACGUGUAGGUUGAUGAGAGUACCAUACGAAUAAGCACCGGCUAACUCCGUGCCAGCCGCUGC
rnacentral:rRNA from 1 species